rnacentral:lncRNA from 1 species
UUCAACCCAUAAUCAAUAAAAUAGUGAUAUAUGCACACGAAAUUAUGAAAUGAAAACAUCAGACCUCAUACUGCAUUUAAAACUAUAAAAUAGGCCAAACAGCAGCUAACCGACAAACACACCAGACUCGGGCUCCAUUAGUGACCUUAAACAAUUUCACACAUCUGUUGAUUCAUGAAAUACCAUUUUAUCAUUUAUUGAACUUUAAUACCGUGAUAGGAAAUAGGAUGAGGGGUCCUU